AGUUCGAUUCUGCUCAGAUUGAACGCUGGCGGGAUGCUUUACACAUGCAAGUCGAACGGCAGCACGGACUUCGGUCUGGUGGCGAGUGGCGAGCAGGUGAGUAAUGUAUCGGAACGUGCCUAAUGGCGGGGAUAACUACGCGAAGGCGUAGCUAAUACCGCAUACGCCCUUCGGAGGAAAGCAGGGGACCUUCGGGCCUCGCACUAUUAGAGCGGCGAUAUGGAUUAGCUAGUUGGUGGGGUAACGGCUCACGCAAGGCGACGAUCCGUAGCUGGUUUUGAGGAGGACGACCAGCCACACUGGGACUGAGACACGGCCAGACUCUACGGGAAACAGCAGUGGGAAUUUUUGGACAAUGGAAACCUGAUCCAGCCAUCCCCGCGUGUGCGAUAGAAGGCCUUCGGGUUGUAAAGCACUUUUGGCAGAAAAAACGGCACGGGAUAAUACCCCGUGCAGCUGACUACCUGCAGAAUAAGCACCGGCUAACUGCGUGCCGCUUGGCCGCGGUAAUACGUAAGUGCAAGCGUUAAUCGGAAUUACUGGGCGUAAGCGUGCGCAGGCGGUUCGGAAGAAAGAUGUGAAAUCCCAGAGCUUAACUUUGGAACUACAUUUUUAACUACCGAGCUAGAGUGUGUCAGAGGGAGGGGAAUUCCGCGUGUAGCAGUGAAAUGCGUAGAUAUGCGGAGGAACACCGAUGGCGAAAACAACCUCCUGGGAUAACACUGACGCUCAUGCGCGAAAGCGUGGGAGCAGAGCAGGAUUAGGUACCUGGUAGUCCACGCCCUAAACAGUGUCCAGCUAGCUGUUGGGGCCUUCGGGCCUUGGUAGCGCAGCUAACGCGUAAAAAGUUGACCGCCUGGGGAGAGCUACGGUCGCAAGAUUAAAACUCAAAGGAAUUGACGGGGACCCGCACAAGCGGUGGAUGAUGUGGAUUAAUUCGAUGCAACGCGAAAAACCUUACCUACCCUUGACAUGUCUGGAAUCCCGAAGAGAUUUGGGAGUGCUCGCAGAGAACCGGAACACAGGUGCUUUAUGGCUGUCGUCAGCUCGUGUCGUGAGAUGUUGGGUUAGAUCCGCAACGAGCGCAGCCCUUGUCAUUAGUUGCUACGAAAGGGCCUCUAAUGCAGGGGCGCCGGUGACAAACCGGAGGAAGGUGGGGAUGACGUCAAGUCCUCAUGGCCCUUAUGGGUAGGGCUUCACGUCAUACAAUGGUCGGGACAGAGGGUCGCCAACCCGCGAGGGGGAGCCAAUCCCAGAAACCCGAUCGUGAGUCGGAUCGCAGUCUGCAACUCGACUGCGUGAAGUCGGAAUCGCUGGUAAUCAUGGCGGAUCAGCAUGUCGCGGUGAAUACGUUCCAGGUCUUGUACACACCGCCCGUCACACCAUGGGAGUGGGUUUUACCAGAAGUAGUUAGCCUAACCGUAAGGAGGGCGAUUACCACGGUAGGAUUCAUGACUGGGGUGAAGUCGCUAAUAAAGGAAAUUAG
rnacentral:rRNA from 1 species